AUUCAUAUAAUUCAAAAAAAGAAUAGUACACUGAAGAUGUAAAAAUGAUUAUCUUAAUCUAUGAAUA
rnacentral:tRNA from 1 species